UUCUGAUCCCUGUUUUCCUGUUCUCUAAAAAACGCCUAUUUUCACUGUCAUGUGAUGUGACCACCGACUGCUUGUUUUUGAGACGUUUCGAAGUGUCCAUUACGCGGAAUUCCCUACGAGAACAUGGAACUGUUCGCAAGUGUCAUUGGGCAACAACAAAUAGGUCUUACGGUUGGAGUGAGUUUGUUGAUCAUCGUUGUGAUUGUCGUUCUCGCAGCUGUUGUUUACACACCGCCGGGCGCUACAGCACGAUGCCUGAGGAGAAACAGGAGUGAGGAACACCUCUCUCUAACUGACAACAGAAUAUCAUGACUUUGUAAAGUUUUGUAUUCUUAAAACUUUGUCUUGACACCUGAAAGAUCCCCUCAUCGCAUACAUUAAAGGAAUGCUAUGUACAGUAUCCGCAUAUUACGUUACACGACUUACCGCGGUAAAUAAAUCGCACGAAAUAUUGAUUUAAUACAUUUAUGGGAGUAACAGACCUCGAAAUAUCACGACUGACCAAUCAGAAACAAGUAUUUGAAAGAGCCAUGUAACAAUCUAUUUGAACUGGUGCUUAUUUCCUAAACCUUUCAUUUUCAAUAUAAUUAACGUUUGCUUAUUAAACUAAAAUAACCUACGUGAGUCUCUAACUUUAUAUGGAAAAUGUGUACCCUUUAAGAUGAAAAGCAACUUGUUUUACCUCAUACCAAUGAAUGUAAUGCUGCAAUGUUGGUAGAACAGGACUGUGGUUCAAGCUGCUCAUUUUAGCCCGGUGGGUCUCAGCCUUUUUGAUUAAAAUCAUAUACAAAGAA